CCCCCGCUCUGGUCCGCGCACGGGCCGGGACCUUGCCCGGGACCUCCGUGCCGCGACGCGGCGGCCCCAGCAGCUGGCGACCGUCGCCACUGUCGUCCAGCCGGGGCCUCUAGCAAAGUUGCGGGGCCCUCGCUGUGCCUGCGGGCCGGCCCCUCCGGGACGGACCCGAACUUUACACGACUUCGCGGCUACAGGUGAUCCAAAUGGCACCUCGCUCAAGGAAACCAUGGGCGUAGUCUCCUGCCGCCGGGCGCAGUCGGCCCGGGGCCACCGUUUCUGUGGCGGAGCUCAAGGAGCACAUGUCCCGGGCGAUUGCAGUGCGGUGCUAAUUUGAAACGUAGUUGCAAGUAGCGCUCCCAACACCGGAGGCUUGAAAUCCCAGAGCAGGGAAGCCUUUGAUACGCCCAGAGCCCGAGGUCGGCCCCACGCCCGGUGGUGACACAUGCAGAAGCACUACGCCUGCAACACGCUCCCGCUCAGGGAUGACCACCGAGCAGCGAAAUGCUUACCUUCCUGCAGUUGUAGAAAUCCCGGUGGGGGUUGUUCUUCAGCUCCUUUAACUCAUCCAUCUCGUUGAGCAUCUCAUGGACCUGGAACUUGGAGGAGAGGAACUUCAGGCGCCGAGCACAUACGAUUUCUGCUCAAGGAGUUACGAAGGGCUUAUAUGGAUGAAUGACCCCUUCUUUCCACUGCUACAGUUUCAACCUAGGAAACCCAAGAACAAAGUCCACACUGUCGCAGCCUUGAAAGCAAGGGGCCCGACGGGGGCUGGGCUGGAACCUGCAACCCAGACAUAAAGCCAAGAGGAAGCCAGCAGAAUGUUCUUUCCCCCGUGAAGCGGGGCGUGAAAGGUUGGGGGAGUGCUAUGAGGAGGAGGUUCCAGCAAAGCGUAGGUAGCAAAUAAUGAAAAUGGCAACCAGCUAUUUGGAGCGACAGUAGAACACAGAAACAUUCUUCACAGGAUGACAAAGCAAAGUGCAUGCAAAGAGAAAGAUCCCCCCCCCCUCCUGCCCCAUCAACGUCUAUACAGGUCUCCAAAAUGCCCCACUUUCAAUUCUGUCUUAAAAAAAGAAAAAUGACAGAGCAACGCUCCAAAAGCAGCAGCAAGUUCCUGCUACCAGGUGUCAACAGCACUGUGAAAACUCAGAACGAACGCCGAGGAGCACGGCGCGCUGAGUUCAUUCAACUCUGGACACAGAAUAGAGUUCUUCCUCUCUUCUGACUUCAGUUCAAGGCAAUGUGGAGUUUGCUUAAUAAGUGAAAAUUCAUAUUAGAAGACAGAGGACCUCACAAUUCCAAUUCAACGGCUUCUUGCUCUGAGCACUCAGCUUCUGUUAGCUCGUAUGCAGACUAACACAUCAACACCUCGUCUUAAACUCU